rnacentral:rRNA from 1 species
CCUACGGGUGGCUGCAGUCGAGAAUCAUUCACAAUGGGGGAAACCCUGAUGGUGCGACGCCGCGUGGGGGAAUGAAGGUCUUCGGAUUGUAAACCCCUGUCAUGUGGGAGCAAAUUAAAAAGAUAGUACCACAAGAGGAAGAGACGGCGAACCCUGUGCCAGCAGCCGCGGUAAUGCAGAGGUCUCAAGCGUUGUUCGGAAUCACUGGGCGUAAAGCGUGCGUAGGCUGUUUCGUAAGUCGUGUGUGAAAGGCGCGGGCUCAACCCGCGGACGGCAAAUGAUACCGCGAGACUAGAGUAAAGGAGGGGGAACCGGAAUUCUCGGUGUAGCAGUGAAAUGCGUAGAUAUCGGGAGGAACACUCGUGGCGAAGGCGGGUGCCUGGACAUUAACUGACGCUGAGGCACGAAGGCCAGGGGAGCGAAAGGGAUUAGAUACCCUGGUAGUC